UCAUGGUGUAGUGGUUAACAUGUCAGUCUGUCACACUGAAGAUCGCGGGUUCAAGUCCCGUUGAG
rnacentral:tRNA from 1 species